AAACGCUGUAGCUCGCUCCACCUGCUGCUGCCGCUGCCGCCGCCGCCGCCGCCGCCUUUGCCACUGCGAGAACUGUAGCGGUGCGACCCGGGAUUCCCUCCUCUCGGCGCCCCACCCUCGACUCCUGUUCCGCUGAGCGCGCCCUCCCCGGCGGGCGGAGACUGCAGCGCCGGGGGCUGAGGAAAGGUGGGUGGCGAAGCGCCGCCGGGCGCUUGGUGGCCGCUGCCGCCGCCACUGCAGCUGUGCACGCCCGCCUCUCGGAGGAAACUUGAAGCCAGCAGUACAAGCAGGGCUGGAGGCCGAGCGGAGGUGGGGCGGGACCGGUUGGAGCAGGGACUCUUUAAACACGUGCGUCUGGAGGAGCCAUCCGACCUUGGGACUAGGGAAACGUGGACUUGGUGGGCUAUUCUGCGCUGAAGAGGCAGCAACGAGGGCUCGGUGGUAUUGGUGUUGGUCCUAGUGGAAUUGUCAAGAGGAUGCUUUUGAAGUGGCCCAGCAUCUUGGAAGUUCACCAUGCUUGCUUUGCAAGAGAUUCCUGACGCUGCAGUGAAAGAGGUCCAGUCAUUCCAGAGAGAACUUCAGUUUCAGACAAGUCAUCAAAUCCAGAAAGCAAGGAAAAAUACCCUGAAAGACGACUGGCAAAUCUCGGUGAAAGAGUAGACGCACUUCAUGGAUUGGAGUGAAUCUUAGAGCACCUGGUACCUUGCACAGGACCUGAUGCCUGGAGGUACAGCAGCCAUCUUGUGACCAUAAGGAGGAAAUCAACGCAUUAAGAAGGGAAAAGCUAAGAAGAUACAGAGAGCAGGGACCACUGACAACAUGAUCAAGCCACUCUACCAGGCCUUAACUUCCUAUUCCCUGACUUCUUAUUGAAAGAGACAAUAAAACUUCUCAUUUGUUUUAACCCAUAGAAGUAAGGCAUUCUGUUACUUAUGGGUGAACACAAUUCUUAACUGAUGCCAUGGUUUAAUGGGAGUAGGGAUCCUGGUAUGACAGGAAAUUGAG
rnacentral:lncRNA from 1 species